UACGUAGGGUGCGAGCGUUGUCCGGAAUUAUUGGGCGUAAAGGGCUCGUAGGCGGUUUGUCGCGUCGGGAGUGAAAUCCACUGGCUUAACUGGUGGCUUGCUUUCGAUACGGGCAGACUGGAGGUAUGCAGGGGAGAACGGGAUUCCUGGUGUAGCGGUGAAAUGCGCAGAUAUCAGGAGGAACACCGGUGGCGAAGGCGGUUCUCUGGGCAUGUCCUGACGCUGAGGAGCGAAAGUGUGGGGAGCGAACAGG
rnacentral:rRNA from 1 species